rnacentral:ncRNA from 1 species
CGGGGCACGGCAGACGCCCCGUCAGGCGGCUCGAUCGUCCAAGUUCUGC